rnacentral:lncRNA from 1 species
UUGUGUACCUCUUGGUGACUUUGGAGCAGGAGUGUUGAGGAAUAAACAAGUCUGCCUCUGAGUGCUUGGCACAGGCCCUCUCUGUGCCUGCUCUGUAGAGGGUGAGGUCUGCGCCUCUCUGUCCACGGAUGGUCAGUAAGAGAGGAUGAUCUUUACUGACACUAACGUCACUCACUGGCGGCCUGUCCUAUAGUGCCUGGUGUAGUUGGUGGGAAAUGAAUCAAACUACUGUGUUUUGUUGUUUUAAUCUGAUGGCUUGUCUUGAUUCAUUUUCUUAGCAAAUUGCAGUUAUAGUUUAUGGGCCUGUGGAGUGAUUGGCACCUUUGAGGGUGGAAGGGGUU